UACAGAGGUCUCAAGCGUUGUUCGGAUUCAUUGGGCGUAAAGGGUGCGUAGGCGGCGCGGUAAGUCGGGUGUGAAAUCUCGGAGCUUAACUCCGAAACUGCAUUCGAUACUGCCGUGCUUGAGGACUGGAGAGGAGACUGGAAUUUACGGUGUAGCGGUGAAAUGCGUAGAUAUCGAGAGGAACACCAGUGGCGAAGGCGAGUCUCUGGACAUUUCCUGACGCUGAGGCACGAAAGCCAGGGGAGCAAACGGG
rnacentral:rRNA from 1 species